rnacentral:rRNA from 1 species
AGAGUUUGAACCUGGCUCAGGACGAACGCUGGCGGCGGGCCUAACACAUGCAAGUCGAACGCACUCGACCUUCGGGUCACAUGAGUGAGUGGCGAACGGGUGAGUAACACGUGAGGAACCUGCCCCGAAGACUGGAAUAACCCGAGGAAACUCGGGCUAAUACCGGAUAUCCCCACCAGGUCGCAUGGCCAGGUGAGGAAAUGCUCCGGCGCUUCGGGAGGGUCUCGCGGCCUAUCAGCUAGUUGGUGAGGUAACGGCUCACCAAGGCAUCGACGGGUAGCUGGUCUGAGAGGACGAUCAGCCACACUGGGACUGAGACACGGCCCAGACUCCUACGGGAGGCAGCAGUGGGGAAUCUUGCGCAAUGGGCGAAAGCCUGACGCAGCCACGCCGCGUGAGGGAUGAAGGCUUUCGGGUUGUAAACCUCUUUCAGCAGGGACGAAAAUGACGGUACCUGCAGAAGAAGCUCCGGCCAACUACGUGCCAGCAGCCGCGGUAACACGUAGGGAGCAAGCGUUGUCCGGAUUUAUUGGGCGUAAAGAGCUCGUAGGCGGUUCAGUCAGUCGGGUGUGAAAACUUGAGGCUCAACCUCAAGAGGCCACUCGAUACUGCUGUGACUAGAGUCCGGUAGAGGAGUGUGGAAUUCCUGGUGUAGCGGUGAAAUGCGCAGAUAUCAGGAGGAACACCGACAGCGAAGGCAGCACUCUGGGCCGGUACUGACGCUGAGGAGCGAAAGCAUGGGGAGCAAACA